rnacentral:rRNA from 1 species
AUUGAACGCUGGCGGCAUGCUUUACACAUGCAAGUCGAACGGUAACAGGGUGCUUGCACCGCUGACGAGUGGCGAACGGGUGAGUAAUGCGUCGGAACGUGCCGAGUAGUGGGGGAUAACGCAGCGAAAGUUGUGCUAAUACCGCAUACGUACUGAGGUAGAAAGUGGGGGACCUUCGGGCCUCACGCUAUUCGAGCGGCCGACGUCUGAUUAGCUAGUAGGUGAGGUAAAGGCUCACCUAGGCGACGAUCAGUAGCGGGUCUGAGAGGAUGAUCCGCCACACUGGGACGGAGACACGGCCCAGACUCCGACGGGAGGCAGCAGUGGGGAAUUUUGGACAAUGGGCGAAAGCCUGAUCCAGCCAUGCCGCGUGUCUGAAGAAGGCCUUCGGGUUGUAAAGGACUUUUGUCAGGGAGGAAAUCCCUAGUGCUAAUAACACUGGGGGAUGACAGUACCUGAAGAAUAAGCACCGGCUAACUACGUGCCAGCAGCCGCCGUAAAAC